rnacentral:misc_RNA from 1 species
GAUGAAGAACGCAGCGAAAUGCGAUAAGUAAUGUGAAUUGCAGAAUUCAGUGAAUCAUCGAAUCUUUGAACGCACAUUGCGCCCGCUAGUAUUCUGGCGGGCAUGCCUGUCCGAGCGUCAUUUCAACCCUCAGGCCCCCAGUGCCUGGUGUUGGGGAUCGGCCCAGCCUUCCUGUAAGGCCGCCGGCCCCGAAAUCUAGUGGCGGUCUCGCUGUAGUCCUCCUCUGCGUAGUAGCACAACCUCGCAGUUGGAACGCGGCGGUGGCCAUGCCGUUAAACACCCCACUUCUGAAAGUUGACCUCGGAUCAGGUAGGAAUACCCGCUGAACUUAAGCAUAUCAAUAAGCGGAGGA